AAAUAAAAAUUCCUUUAAAGUGUAAGGGAAAGCGGUGAAAAUCCGCUGCGGGCGCGCCACCGUGAGUGGGGACGAAACUGGCAAAGUAACGCCACUGGAAUUGUUUAUAUUCCGGGAAGGCGCCAGGAGUAGGAAGAUCCACAAGCCGGGAGACCUGCUUUAAAGGGAUUUGUUCC
rnacentral:ncRNA from 2 species